CAGCCGCCACGGUAAUACGAAGGGGGCUAGCGUUGCUCGGAAUUACUGGGCGUAAAGGGAGCGUAGGCGGAUCGUUAAGUUGGGGGUGAAAGCCCGGGGCUCAACCUCGGAACUGCCUUCAAUACUGGCGAUCUUGAGUAUGAGAGAGGUGUGUGGAACUCCGAGUGUAGAGGUGAAAUUCGUAGAUAUUCGGAAGAACACCAGUGGCGAAGGCGACACACUGGCUCAUUACUGACGCUGAGGCUCGAAAGCGUGGGGAGCAAACAGGAUUAGAUACCCGUGUAGUCCCUGUCUCUUAUAC
rnacentral:rRNA from 1 species